rnacentral:rRNA from 1 species
GAUGAACGCUAGCGGCAGGCCUAACACAUGCAAGUCGAGGGGUAUAAGUCUUCGGACUUUGAGACCGGCGCACGGGUGCGUAACGCGUAUGCAAUCUACCUUGUACAGAGGGAUAGCCCAGAGAAAUUUGGAUUAAUACCUCAUAGUAUAUUUGAAUGGCAUCAUUUAAAUAUUAAAGUUCCAACGGUACAAGAUGAGCAUGCGUCCCAUUAGUUAGUUGGUGUGGUAACGGCACACCAAGACGAUGAUGGGUAGGGGUCCUGAGAGGGAGAUCCCCAACACUGGUACUGGGACACGUACCAGACUCCUACGGGAGGCAGCAGUGAGGAAUAUUGGUCAAUGGAGGCAACUCUGAACCAGCCAUGCCGCGUGCAGGAUGACGGUCCUAUGGAUUGUAAACUGCUUUUAUACGGGAAGAAAAAGAGUUACGUGUAACUUAUUGACGGUACCGUAAGAAUAAGGAUCGGCUAACUCCGUGCCAGCCGCCGCAGUAA